rnacentral:rRNA from 1 species
AGUGAACGCUGGCGGUAGGCCUAACACAUGCAAGUCGAACGGUAGCACAGUAAGAGCUUGCUCUUACGUAUGGCGAGUGUCGGACGGGGUAGGUAUACAUCCGAAUCUACUUUUUCGUGGGGGAUAACGUAGGGAAACCUACUCUAAUACCGCAUACGACCUACGGGUGAAAGCAGGCGAUCUUCUGACCUUGCGCGAUUGACUCAGCCGAUUUCGGAUUCGCUAGUUGGCGGGGUAAAGGCGCACCAAGGGGACGAUGCGUAGCUGGUCUGAGAGGGUGAUCAGCCACACUGGAACGGAGACACGGUCCAGAGUCCUACGGGAGGCGGCAGUGGGGAAUAUGGGACAAUGGGCUCAAGACUGUUCCAGCCAUACCGCGUGGGUGAAGAAGGCCUUCUGCGUGUGAAGCGCUUUUGUUGGGAAAGAGAAGCGGCAGGUUAAUACCCCGCUGUUCUGGCGGUACCCAAAGAAUAAGCCCCGGCUAACUUCGUG